GUAGAUUCUGCGGAAGAUGGCAGGAUCUGUCGACAGCCUGGCCCCAUUCUGCCACCAGAUGGUUGACUAGGAUUGGUUACAUUUGUGCACCUUGACGGUCUAAAUAACAACAUGAAAUAUGUCGCUUGGUUUGGAGCAUGUUUCGAGAGACAUAUUACAAUUACAUGGUAUACAUAAUCUUUCUGCAAGUAGAGGUACUCAGAUGAUUUGAAGGUCAACUUUGGUUUUUCAAAUGGAAUAGGACAUUUUAUUAUGAUGCAAUUAGAUAUUCUUUAUAAGAAAAAGUACUAUACUGUUUGAUAUAUUAAAAGAAUACUUAUGAAGAAUGUAAUAUUGUAACUAUACCUACUACGAAUGUAAACAAAACGCAAUGCAGGCUCAAUUGGGCUCAAUGCUCAAUGGGCUUUAUAUGUGCAAGAACGUAUCCUGAUUCCUGAUCGGAGACAUCCUACCUAAAUAAUGUUUUCGUUCUGUAUCAUUGAAAACAGUUCUGUAUUUUAAUAGCGUGUCUCCGAAAUUUUUUUAAAGAAUACGAGACGUAGAAAUGUUUUUAUUUGAUUUUUAAUCCUGUAUUUGCAUAUUACAUGUCGCACGAAAUAAGAUAAAAAUGAGUCUUUUGCAACUAA